rnacentral:miRNA from 1 species
GUUUCUAUAUGCGUUUCGCCACAAAGGCUUCAUCAAGUAGAAACAGUAUACUAUACUUUUUUUUUAUACUGUUUCUACUUGAUGAAGCCUUUGUGGCGAAACGCGUAUAGAAAC